AGGAAUAGAUAACGGUUUGGCAAAAAUCCGUUAUCUAUGUACUGUUGUCUAUAUGAAUAGAUAACAGUUUGAAUUAAUUCGUUAUGUAUGAGCGUUAUGUAUUAGUUGCAUACAUAACGGUAUUAUCGAACCGUUAUCUAUGAGCGAUAAUACCGUUAUGUAUGAGCGUCUUUUUAUAACGGUUGUUUUAAUCGUUAUAUAUGAGCGUCUAAAAACUGUUAUGUAUUAUUUUUUAUAUUUAUUUUUAAAUUUAAUAAUAUUAUAAAAAAUAAAACUCUAACAUUCCUCCCUUUACCCCCUACUCUCUAUCUCGUCCCUCAUCCCCCAGCUUUCUCUCUCUCUCAACUCCGGCCAUAGAAUCACGCCCUCCCUCUGUCCUCCGCGGCCGCAGCAACGACAGCCACCAAGCUCGUCACACUUCCCUCGUCUCCCUUCCCUCGUCUCCCUCUCAAUCCCCCAUCUCUCAAUUCUUAUGAAGAAGACACAAAGCCCCAAAUUUACUCACAAAAUCGUGCCCUAGCUGCUCCUCCGGCGAAUCGCCGCUGCCAGUGGAGGGUCGGCGAGGUGCAGCCCUUCCCUCUCUCAUCCUCUUCACUCAAUUCUUCUCAUUUUCUCAAACUCCCAACCUCAAAAUCGUACCGAGCCCUAAUUAUCUCUCUCUACCUGAACCCAGCGAUGUCACCGCGGUUCCGGUUCGAUGUGCCGUCGUGCCGUCGGCUUGGGUUCCACAGAUUGUGUUUUGCUUCAAAGGAAAUCAGUAAGGGCUGUCGUCGACGCUGGGUCCUGAAACGGUGAGGUUCGCCGUUCUAACUUGAUGGGAACAGGGCAGUCGGGCUUCCUAAGAGCUAAGUCUUACUCUUGUCUCAUUUCUUAUCCAUUGUGAUAUAGUAUCAAUGUAAGCAUGUUGACUUCUUUGAGUAAGAAAAUAUCAGAACUUAACAUCUAUCAGUGUAUGUCGUGGCUAAAAUCUUAGAGGUUGGGAUCUCGCUUGGGUGCUUGUAUCAGAUAUUAUUAUGAGUCUCGCUUAGUUGAAUCUCUUCGUAAGUCAGAUACAUGUCAAAAUCUUAGAGGGAAUAGCUUACAUUAGUGGCAAGACCGGUCAUGCUUUAGACCAGAAUCCGUUUGUUCUGAUUGUUGGAAGAUGUGUAGAUUGCAUUUGGUAUUAGAUGCUAACAGGCGUGCUCACUUAUAUCCGAGAACUGAGGAGGCUCUUGAUAUAAUUUCCUUUGGUUUCAUUUUUCUUCUUCAGGUAGUUCAUACUCAAGCAAAGGUGACAGCAGACCAGGAAUGAAACUUGACCACCAACUUGAAGAAAAGUAAAGUGACAUGUUCUUCAGAAGGAAUGACUGCUGAAUAUAUUUAAUAGGAAUCAAGUUUCAGGCUGCAAAGCGCCAGGGAGAUGUUAUUCACUACUCUUGGCUCCUUGAAUGUUGUAUGCAGAAGCAGCUUCUCCCUUUACAGCCAAAGUACUUUCUUUUUCUAUCUGAGGCAACUAAGAAAAAGCUGGAAGAAGAAGUUGACGAGUUUUCGGACUCCUACUAUUUGGAUUUAAAUGUGACAGAACUGGAACAUGUACAGAAAUUUUGUUAUACGUGUUCAAUUUUAAGAGAAGAUAUUAAACAACAUUGACAAGAUUGAAGAUUCUAAAGCAAAAGAGUACUGCAAGAAAUUCUGUCCCAGGGAGGAGUGGGUUCGCUUUCAUGGUUGUCGUGUUUACUUCCACCUACCCA